UAGCGGAGAAAAGAAACUAACAGGGAUUCCCUUAGUAAGGGCGACUGAACCGGGAUGAGCCCAGCGCAUAACCUCGGGGGGAUAGUUUCACUAUGUCCCUACCGAGGGGUGUUGCGUUUCGGAGGGUCCGGCACGUGUCGCAGCCCUGCCCAAGUCACGCUUGAAAGCGGCCACUACCCACGGAGGGUGACAGGCCCGUACGGCAGAGUCUAAUAGGCGCGCGGCAAGCUGGCACGGAAAGGACCUCUCCGUAGAGUCGGGUUGCUUGAGACUGCAGCCCAAAGCAGGUGGUAAACUCCUUCUAAAGCUAA
rnacentral:rRNA from 1 species